UACGUAGGGGGCAAGCGUUGUCCGGAAUUAUUGGGCGUAAAGGAGCGCGUGAGCGGUCCGAUAAGUCGGCUGUGAAAACCCGCGGCUUAACCGUGGGCUUGCAGCCGAUACGGGCAGGCUAGAGUUCGGUAGGGGAGACUGGAAUUCCUGGUGUAGCGGUGAAAUGCGCAGAUAUCAGGAGGAACACCGGUGGCGAAGGCGGGUCUCUGGGCCGAUACUGACGCUGAGGAGCGAAAGCGUGGGGAGCGAACAGG
rnacentral:rRNA from 1 species